UUACGCACUAUUAAGUGUCAGUAAAAUAGAGUAUUGAAUUCUGAGUAAGACCAAGCGGCGGACGGGUGAGUAACGCGUGGGUAACCUGCCCUAUACACAUGGAUAACAUACUGAAAAGUUUACUAAUACAUGAUAAUAUAUAUUUGUGGCAUCGCAGAUAUAUCAAAGUGUUAGCGGUAUAGGAUGGACCCGCGUCUGAUUAGCUAGUUGGUGAGAUAACUGCCCACCAAGGCGACGAUCAGUAGCCGACCUGAGAGGGUGAUCGGCCACAUUGGAACUGAGACACGGUCCAAACUCCUACGGGAGGCAGCAGUGGGGAAUAUUGCACAAUGGGCGCAAGCCUGAUGCAGCAACGCCGCGUGAACGAUGAAGGUCUUCGGAUCGUAAAGUUCUGUUGCAGGGGAAGAUAAUGACG
rnacentral:rRNA from 1 species